GGCUCAGAACGAACGCUGGCGUCGUGCUUAACACAUGCAAGUCGAGCGAGGCCCCACCUUCGGGUGGGUGUCCUAGCGGCGAACGGGUGAGUAACACGUGGGCAACCUGCCCCUAGCACUGGGAUAAGCCGGGGAAACCCGGUCUAAUACCGGAUACGACCUCGAAGGGCAUCCUUCGAGGUGGAAAGUUUUUUCGGCCAGGGAUGGGCUCGCGGCCUAUCAGCUUGUUGGUGGGGUGAUGGCCUACCAAGGCGACGACGGGUAGCCGGCCUGAGAGGGUGUCCGGCCACACUGGGACUGAGACACGGCCCAGACUCCUACGGGAGGCAGCAGUGGG
rnacentral:rRNA from 1 species